GGAGAUGAAGUUCAGUGGUAGAAGACUUGCCUAGCAUGUAUGAGCUGCUGGGUUCAAUUCCCAGCACCCCA
rnacentral:tRNA from 1 species